rnacentral:rRNA from 1 species
GACGAACGCUGGCGGCGUGCCUAACACAUGCAAGUGGAGCGACGAACCAGGCUUCGGCCUGGGGCAGAGCCGCGAACGGGUGAGUAACACGUGGGUAACCUGCCCUGAUGAUUGGGACAACCCGAGGAAACUCGGGCUAAUACCAAAUGUGCCCUCCGACCCUAAGGUCGAUGGGAAAGGAAGCUUCGGCCUCCGCAUCGGGAUGGGCCCGCGGCCCAUUAGCUUGUUGGUGAGGUAAUGGCUCACCAAGGCUACGAUGGGUAGCUGGUCUGAGAGGACGAUCAGCCACACUGGGACUGAGACACGGCCCAGACUCCUACGGGAGGCAGCAGUGGGGAAUCUUGCGCAAUGCGCGAAAGCGUGACGCAGCAACGCCG